GACGAACGCUGGCGGCGUGCUUAACACAUGCAAGUCGAACGGAGUGGCGAAAGGGUGAGUAACACGUUGGUUACCUGCCCUGCACUUCGGGAUACGCCUGGGAAACUGGGUCUAAUACCGGAUAGUGUGGGAUGGGCCCGCGGCCUAUCAGUGUGUUGGUGGGGUAUUGGCCUCCCAAGGGGGCGACGGGUAGCCGGCCUGAGAGGGUGGACGGCCACACUGGGACUGAGAGGAGGCAGAGAUAGCGACGGGAGGCAGAAGUGGGGAAUACUGCACGAGGGGCGGAAGGCUGGGGAAGAGAGGCUGCGGGGGGGAUGACGGCCUUCGGGGUGAAAACUACUGUCGCCAUCAACGCGGUAGACGGAGAAGAAGCACAGGGUAACUAAGGGGCAACAGGCGGGGUAAAAC
rnacentral:rRNA from 1 species